GGCCCGCUAGCUCAGUUGGUCAUAGCACCGUGCUAAUAACGCGAAUGUCGUGGGUUCGAUCCCCAUCCUGGUCA
rnacentral:tRNA from 1 species